GUGGGGAAUAUUGGGCAAUGGGCGAAAGCCUGACCCAGCCAUGCCGCGUGUGUGAAGAAGGCCUUCGGGUUGUAAAGCACUUUAAGCAGGGAGGAAGGUUCGUUGGAUAAUACCCAGCGGAAUUGACGUUACCUGCAGAAUAAGCACCGGCUAACUCUGUGCCAGCAGCCGCGGUAAUACAGAGGGUGCGAGCGUUAAUCGGAAUUACUGGGCGUAAAGCGUGCGUAGGCGGUUGUGUAAGUUGGAGGUGAAAUCCCCGGGCUUAACCUGGGAACUGCCUCCAAAACUGCACGGCUAGAGUACGGGAGAGGGAGGUAGAAUUCCGGGUGUAGCGGUGAAAUGCGUAGAUAUCCGGAGGAAUACCGAUGGCGAAGGCAGCCUCCUGGCCUGAUACUGACGCUGAAGUACGAAAGCGUGGGGAGCAAACAGGAUUAGAUACCCUUGUAGUCC
rnacentral:rRNA from 1 species